UGAGGUAGUAGAUUGUGUAGUU
rnacentral:ncRNA from 3 species